rnacentral:lncRNA from 1 species
GGCAAAAAUAAGGAAAGCUUUGCCUUUGUUUUUGUUUGGGUCUUACAGAUGCAGUGUGCUGGUCUAUGUAGGCUGACCUGUACUCACAGCAAUCCUUCUGCUUCAGACUCCUGAGUGCUGAGAUUGUAGGUCUUUGAGCCACUUAAUUUGCAGUAGUCCAUUAUGGCGGCCCUAGAAAACUAAUGCAGUAGCUCACCCAAAAAACAGGUUGUAGGUAUAAAGGGCAAUGAAGAGUAUGAAAAAUGUUUCUGGAGUUAAAAGUGAUACUGGGAGCUCACGAAUGGACAGAAAGCGUGGGAAAUACGCAGUGAAUAUUGAACACUCUGGAAAACAGCUGCCAUUCCUGAGCCCAACAAAUUGUGAAGCUCACAACUCAGAAUGUCAGUUUUCUACAUCAGCUGGUCCUACUGGCACCAACUUAACUGAGCUCUGCACCGACUCAGGGCCCGUCGGUCACUCAGAAUUCCCAAACCAAGAAUUUCCACAGGUA